GGAAAAUAUAACAUGAGUCUUGAAGUUGAAAACCAAGAAAUUUAACUUACAAAUGGUACUCAGUUGGUAAAUCAUACAUACGGAGAUGGCACACUACGAAAUUACUGUGAAUUAUUUAUUAUUAGUUAAGUAUACAACAUUUGUUCAAUUUCUUUAUAAUUGGCUUGAAGUCAGUGGUUUUCAGGAUGUCAUUUUCCAUACACGAGUGAAAGCCAGUACAAACGCUGCCUGCUACCCCAUUGUGCAGCAAAGGAGAUUUUUUUAAUUUUUUUUUAUCAGUUUCAGUCUUGAAAAUGAACAUUCUUCUGCACAGUUGGUCUCAGGAUUGCAGGGACAGAUAACUGUGGUGCUUCGUCCACCUAAACGUUUUAAUAAAGAGAGAUUUGACGGUUCUGAAUAAAUCUCCUGGAAUGAUAUACUGAAAAUUUGGCAAGCUUAUGAGGCCCCUAUACUUCUGGGUUCCCCUGAGCAACUGCCCAGCCUACCCAUGCGUUAAGACGGCUUUGACUUAAAGGACACUUCACUGUGCAAGGAGGCAGAGAGAAAGAACGAGUGACAAUAUCUCCAUUUACCACGACUAACCUGCCAGAAAUUAGCCCCAAUCAAGGCUAUUCGGUUGUCAUAAAACCAAAUAAGCAUUUUAUAUUAGUUCAAACAUAGCAGUGAGUAUACGUUUCAGAAUGUUAAGAGUGCAUUAAAGUGUCUGUGAGAGUGUAUUACUUUGCCUGAAUGGGAGAGUGUUUAUAAAUGCAUGUUUUUACAAACAUCUGAGUUUUUCUAAUGUUACCAUAGCAACUAAAAUGAACUAUUAGAGUAUGGCACAAUUAAAGAUGGAUAACAUGUUUUCUGAUUGAUAGAUUUGUAUUUUCACACAUUACAUUUACAUUGAUACUGCUUUUAAUCCAUUCACCGCUAAGUAUUUGGGCCCAAAUCCUUCUGUCCCUCUUUUCUAUCCUAAUGUCCAUCCUUCCUAGGAGCUCCAUAUUGUUGGUGUGUGCAUGACAAUGUUCCACAGCAAUAACAAUCACAGUAAUGUGUUUGAACUACAAUACGUUUGUUUAAAAACCAAUUUAUUUAUAUAGGAUUCAUUGUUCUUGUUUUAAAUUACAUUUUCUUUGCAUAAAUAAUUAAUAGUAAAUCACCUAAAUUUUCUCAGAACAGCUCUGCUCCCUGACCAUACCCCUACAUACACC